GAUGAACGCUAGCGAUAGGCCUAACACAUGCAAGUCGAGGGGCAGCAUGGUCUUAGCUUGCUAAGACUGAUGGCGACCGGCGCACGGGUGCGUAACGCGUAUGCAACUUGCCUCACAGAGGGGGAUAAUCCGUCGAAAGACGGACUAAUACCGCGUACACUCCACUUUGGGCAUCCAAAGUAGAGGAAAUGAAAUUCGCUGUGAGAUAGGCAUGCGUCCCAUUAGCUAGUUGGUGAGGUAACGGCUCACCAAGGCGACGAUGGGUAGGGGAACUGAGAGGUUGAACCCCCACACUGGUACUGAGACACGGACCAGACUCCUACGGGAGGCAGCAGUGAGGAAUAUUGGUCAAUGGGCGAGAGCCUGAACCAGCCAAGUCGCGUGAAGGAUGACUGUCUUAUGGAUUGUAAACUUCUUUUAUACGGGAAUAACAAGAGCCACGAGUGGCUCCCUGCAUGUACCGUAUGAAUAAGCAUCGGCUAACUCCGUGCCAGCAGCCGCGGUAAUACGGAGGAUGCGAGCGUUAUCCGGAUUUAUUGGGUUUAAAGGGUGCGUAGGCGGCCUGUUAAGUCAGCGGUGAAAUCUAGGAGCUUAACUCCUAAAUUGCCAUUGAUACUGGCGGGCUUGAGUGUAGAUGAGGUAGGCGGAAUGCGUGGUGUAGCGGUGGAAUGCAUAGAUAUCACGCAGAACUCCGAUUGCGAAGGCAGCUUACUAAGGUACAACUGACGCUGAAGCACGAAAGCGUGGGUAUCACACAGGAUUAGAUACCCUGGUAGUCCAAGGGCGAAUUCCACAGUGGAUAUCAAGCUAUCGAUACCGUCGACCUCGAGGGGGGGCCCGGUACCCAGCUUUUGUUCCUUAGAGGGGGGUUUUAAUAAAUCAAAUUCCAAAAAAA
rnacentral:rRNA from 1 species